UACGUAGGUGGCAAGCGUUGUCCGGAUUUACUGGGCGUAAAGCGCACGCAGGCGGCUUCGUUAGUCGGAUGUGAAAGCUCCUGGCUUAACUGGGAGAGGCCAUUCGAUACUGCGGGGCUUGAGGUUGGGAGAGGGGUGUGGAAUUCCCGGUGUAGUGGUGGAAUGCGUAGAUAUCGGGAGGAACACCAGUGGCGAAGGCGGCACCCUGGCCCACACCUGACGCUGAGGUGCGAAAGCGUGGGUAGCAAACAGG
rnacentral:rRNA from 1 species